UUUCUUCGUCAUCUACAAGAGAUACCACGUAGCCCUUCAGCAAGCCCCGAUAAUGGGAUUACCAAAAUAUGUGAAGUAAACAUUGUAGAAGCAACUCGCCCUACUAACAUAGGGGUCUUUCAGGAUAACCCUAACAACCUACAUCGGGUUGUUUUGGAAGGAGACUUUGAGGGUGUAAGAAAUAUACUAGCGAAGGCUGCAGCUGGAGGCGGUGGAAGCUCUGUGCGAUCUCUAUUAGA